rnacentral:rRNA from 1 species
UACGAAGGUGGCAAGCGUUGUUCGGAUUUACUGGGCGUACAGGGAGCGUAGGCGGUUGGAUAAGCCCUCCGUGAAAUCUCCAGGCUUAACCUGGAAAGUGCAGAGGGGACUGUUCAGCUAGAGGAUGGGAGAGGAGCGCGGAAUUCUCGGUGUAGAGGUGAAAUUCGUAGAUAUCGAGAGGAACACCGGUGGCGAAGGCGGCCUUCUGGACAGUUACUGACGCUGAGACGCGAAAGCGUGGGGAGCAAACAGG